rnacentral:lncRNA from 1 species
AUUGCUGGAGGAGAAUGAUAAGCAAAUUGCAGAGCAGCAGGCAAGAAGGACUAACUGAUAUUCGGAUCAGUGCUGACAUCCGUUUGACUGGUUUUGACACCGUCUGAUUUCAACACAAGUGCCAAACUGAAGCAAGCGGAAUUAUUUGAAAUGGCCAGGGUGGUUGUAAUCUUUAUGUGCACAAUGCUUCUUGUCGUAGGAGCAAACGCUUCAUGUUUCAUUGCUAGAUCGAAAUGUGUACCAGGCCAAGUUCCUUAUAAACUUCCCGGUGUCUCGACGAAGUGUUACGACUGCGCGUGCAUGAAAAGUGGUACAGCAGUCAGCUGCUGCUUGAACAUCCCCAUUCCCACUGGCUUCAAUUCAAGAAAGUGCUUCAGAGUACUGGACGAAGAUACCUGCACAUACAAAGUGAUGAAGCUGAGGAACCCGCGCCGGGAAUGCCCUGUGAAAGCUUGGUUGGGUUAGGGGUUUCGUCAGCUACCUGUUUACUGUGCAUGCUCAAAUACGUACGCGAAAGUGCUACAAGUUGGAUAAUGUAAACCAUUAAUUUACACUGUAGAUACAAUUCAUUAACUCAACCUUUCAAUGUUUCCUUGAAACUCUUUAAAAUAUAUUUAUGAGCGCAAAGUCAUGUAAAAUUUCAUGGCGUUUUGAACAAAAUACCGCAAACUUAUGUUUAUCAUGUCGUAUAAUUAGUUAUACUUCAAGACUAUGAUUGGAUAAGCCUGCAAUCGAUGUCUGUGGCCAGCCUACUGUUGGCUGCAUCGUCGGUAAACAGUGACCUUAUUUGUUUAAAUGUAAUAGAAGGGAACCAUCGUCCAUAAUUGCAGGGGGGGUUGCACAGGGCGCACGUGCACGCCCAUCGGAUGCCCGUUCCCCGGGUGCCCCCCAUUUGAAAUCUUUGGUUAAUAAUCGUUGCAAUGUAGCUGCAGCUUAUUUUCUCGUGGUGCCUCCUUGCAAAAAUGUCUGCACACCCGGGUACCCCCCCCAAAAAAAAAUUAGCCCUAGUUUCGCCUCUGCUUAAGCUGCGUCCAAAACAUUUGGCUAGGGGCCGGCAGUAUAAAGUCGUAUCUAUGAGACUGCUAUACAGUCGAAGCCAAGCCAGCGGGAAACUUAAAGAGCUGAUGAAAGAAGACCUACAGGCAUUUCUGAGCAUGCGCACAAAUUGUGAUAACAAUGGACUAAGGACCGUUGUCUGCUGCCACCAGCGUCUCAUAGUUCUUCCAUAGGGGUGAGAACUAUAUUCUACUUCGAAAUUUUCUGGUUUUUGGUCAGAUUCCAUCGAUGACAAUACUAAAGAAAUCCAGUUUGAGAUAUUUAGAAAUAUCUAAACCAAUCUAGUUAAGUUUAAAGGAGGAACGCCUUAUCUUUUUCACACGCGUCAAAAGGAAAAAAUGUAGUUAAAAACUUAAAAAUGUUGUAAAUGUUUUCGAUGGUUAGAUGCUUGAAAGUAUAAAAUGACUUUUAUUUGAUACAGUAAAGUAUGCUUACAUACCGAUUAGUCAUUCAUAAAAUGUAGAAAAAUUUCAAAUACAAAGAGAUUUACACUGACAAAAAUUCUGUACUCCCCAGUGCAGGUUUUAAAUCUCAGACACAAACUGCGUCGGAAGUUUUUUCAAGAAUAAAGUUGUAUCGUGUCCAGAACCAUGGCAAUAAAACCUAAAAUAUGAUUUUAAUAUGGGUCACUGGGGUGGUCUUGUCAUUCAAAACAUGCUAUCACGAUAGAGUAAGAGACAACAUCAUCCACAACAUGCAUAAUGAAUCGAAAACUUGGUCUGCAUAGGAGAGUGGGCCUUCCCCAACUUACCCAUGGAUCACAAAGUGAUGUAAAUCAAUAGCAAAAUGCCUGAGUAGUCGAAUGAGCCGUUUUGGUACAGUGUUUAAUCAAAUGUUGAAGCCAGCACGCAAAGCAUCAUUUGUAAAUAAACAGCUUUCUGUGCUUCUCAAAUAGAAGGAAAAAUUGCUACAUAGAUGCAGAGGUAAACUCAAACAUGUUGAAAAAGGUAUCAGAUAAAAAGCAAUAAAUGCAACGCAAAAGGUCGGUAAACCCAACAUGAA